UCGUAACAAGGUUUCCGUAGGUGAACCUGCGGAAGGAUCAUUACUGAGUGAGGGUUCCUUCGGGGCCCAACCUCCCACCCUUGUAUACUGUACCAAGUUGCUUCGGCGGGCCCGCCGUUCGCGCGGCCGCCGGGGGGGAACCCCUCCCCCCGGGCGAGCGCCCGCCGGAGACCCCAACGUGAACACUGUCUGAAGUUUUGUCGUCUGAGUUCGAUUGUAUCGCAAUCAGUUAAAACUUUCAACAAUGGAUCUCUUGGUUCCGGCAUCGAUGAAGAACGCAGCGAAAUGCGAUAAUUAAUGUGAAUUGCAGAAUUCAGUGAAUCAUCGAGUCUUUGAACGCACAUUGCACCCCCUGGUAUUCCGGGGGGUAUGCCUGUCCGAGCGUCAUUGCUGCCCUCAAGCCCGGCUUGUGUGUUGGGUCCUCGUCCCCCCCGGGGGACGGGCCCGAAAGGCAGCGGCGGCACCGCGUCCGGUCCUCGAGCGUAUGGGGCUUUGUCACACCGCUCUCGUAGGCCCGGCCGGCGCUGGCCGACGCUGAAAAGCAACCAUUAUUUCUCCAGGUUGACCUCGGAUCAGGUAGGGAUACCCGCUGAACUUAAGCAUAUCAAUAA
rnacentral:misc_RNA from 1 species